ACGAACGCUGGCGGCAGGCUUAACACAUGCAAGUCGAGCGCCCCGCAAGGGGAGCGGCAGACGGGUGAGUAACGCGUGGGAAUCUACCCAUCUCUACGGAAUAGCUCCGGGAAACUGGAAUUAAUACCGUAUACGCCCUUUGGGGGAAAGAUUUAUCGGAGAUGGAUGAGCCCGCGUUGGAUUAGCUAGUUGGUGGGGUAAAGGCCUACCAAGGCGACGAUCCAUAGCUGGUCUGAGAGGAUGAUCAGCCACAUUGGGACUGAGACACGGCCCAAACUCCUACGGGAGGCAGCAGUGGGGAAUAUUGGACAAUGGGCGCAAGCCUGAUCCAGCCAUGCCGCGUGAGUGAUGAAGGCCUUAGGGUUGUAAAGCUCUUUCACCGGAGAAGAUAAUGACGGUAUCCGGAGAAGAAGCCCCGGCUAACUUCGU
rnacentral:rRNA from 1 species